rnacentral:tRNA from 1 species
GGAGGAAUUCCCGAGUGGCCAAAGGGGGCAGACUGUAAAUCUGUUGCGUUAGCGCCAAAGGGGGCAGACUGUAAAUCUGUUGCGUUAGCUUCGAUGGUUCAAAUCCAUCUUCCUCCACCA